UGCCAGCCGCCGCGGUAAUACGGAGGGUGCAAGCGUUGUUCGGAAUUACUGGGCGUAAAGCGCGCGUAGGCGGUUUGUUAAGUCAGAUGUGAAAGUCCACGGCUCAACCGUGGAAGUGCAUUUGAAACUGGCAGACUUGAGUACUGGAGGGGGUGGUGGAAUUCCCGGUGUAGAGGUGAAAUUCGUAGAUAUCGGGGGGAACACCAGUGGCGAAGGCGGCCCUCUGGACGAUGACUGACGCUCAGAUGCGAAAGCGUGGGGAGCAAACAGGAUUAGAUA
rnacentral:rRNA from 1 species